UACGAAGGGGGCUAGCGUUGCUCGGAAUCACUGGGCGUAAAGCGCACGUAGGCGGCUUUUUAAGUCAGGGGUGAAAUCCUGGAGCUCAACUCCAGAACUGCCUUUGAUACUGGAGAGCUUGAGUCCGGGAGAGGUGAGUGGAAUUCCUGGUGUAGCGGUGGAAUGCGCAGAUAUCAGGAAGAACACCCGUGGCGAAGGCGGCUCUCUGGGACGGUACUGACGCUGAGACGCGAAAGCGUGGGGAGCGAACAGG
rnacentral:rRNA from 1 species